UUUGCUGCUUUAGAGGCACGGCAUUUAGUGUCACAUUGUAGGUUUAAAUUGGUUGUAGAAUUUAUAUUCUAACUUGCAUAUUUAUUUAGUUGAGUUUAAUCUAAGUUUAUAUUUGAUGUGUUUGUAUUAUUUUAGAAUUUACUGUUUUAGACACGUGGCAUGUGGUAUCCCACUAAUUAGCUAUUUUAAACAUGUGACAAGUGGUAUGACACUGUAUUGAUGUAUGUGAAAUUUAUAGAGUCUUUCAGUUAUCAGAUAAUGUCAAGGAGUUGACAGCAUGGUGUCCGAUUUAAAGUGCGAAUCUGUGUACGAGUAACAGUAUUCAAAACCAAAACCUAUUUAAACCAACCAAACCAAAACUAGAGACCAAAAACUAA